CUGUGUCUCAAUUACCUUGUUAACUCAUCCACAUAUUAGCCUGGUUUUUGUCUUUGGUUGCUGGUUUAUUGUUUUCUGUUAUGUGUGUCUGUUACCAUGUUUUUUUGUUUUCUGUUAUGUGUGUCUGUUACUCUGUUUUUCCCUGAUUUGGAUUACGUUGUUUGUUUUUGGACUCUUUAAUAAAUACUGCACCUGGAUCUUCUUGUUUUGGCGCAUUCUGUGACAGAAUAACCCAACCAUUAACAGAUCCAGCAGCAAGGCUGGGCUUCAGAUUGUGGACCAUGGGCAUUCGUAUUCUUCCUUCUGCUUCAAAGGAGCGGGAGGCUUGGCUCUGGAUGUUGGCGGCUCUUCGCCAACAGGGGAUGAAAGUGGGAGGUUUUGCUCAGACCUUCUGGACUUUGGCAGUAGGGCUGGAACUGAGUGAGUCUGAGCUCAGCAAGACUUUUAAUGACUGCCUAGACAAUACCUUCCCUCCUCGGGAGAUUGAGAGGCUUAAGACUGUUGACGUUUGGAAAAUCAUUGAUUAUCUUUGUUACCGCAACUUUGUAAGGACAUGUUGGUCUGAGUCAAUUGCAGUGCUCCUGGAGAUCCCUGAGCCCGCUCCAGUGGAUAGCGAAUCUUCACUGUCUCAGUCUCGCAAGUGAAGGUCGAGAAGGAGGAGGGCAGCAAGGUCCACUAAAGUUCUCCCGGAGCCCACUCAAGUCCUUUAAUCUGCGCCAGAGCCUGCUCCAGUCUAUGAGUCUGACCCAAGUCCGCUGGUCCUGGAGGACACGACUCAGGUGAUCUUGAAUGUCACCACAGAGCCGCCUAAUUUCACUGCUGCUGCCAUAGUCAAGAAGGCCAUCUUUGCCUUUGGCCUCUGGACUGUUCUGUGUGCAUGGGAGCAUUCAGAACCUGCUCCAGUCCGGGAGUAUUCUGAGUCCACUCCACAACCCGCUCCAGUCUAGGAGCCUUCAGUGUCCACUUAUGAACAAGCUCCAGUACAGGAGUCCUUGGAGCUCACUCCAGCGCCCGCUCAAGUCUAGGAGCUCACUCCAGAGCCAGCUCCAUUCUAUGAAUUAAUUCUAGAGUUUGUUUCAGUCUACAAAUCCACUCCAGAGCUUACUCAAGUUUAUGAGAUUACUCCUUAGCUCAUUCCAGUCCAAGAGUCCACUACUGAGUCUGCUCUAGUUCCUCCCAAGGUGGUGGUUUCUGCUGUGGAGCCUUCUCAAGGCGGUGGCCUCUUCAACUCCCCUCUGAGUGGGGAUGUCCACUCCUGAACUCUGUCUACCUUGUCAUCGCCAAGGAGACUGUUGAACUGUCUGCCUGUCCUAUUACAGCCAUCAAGGCUGCUACUAAGCUUGUGCUCUUCUUUGCAGUCCUGUCUGAGUUGCUGGUGGCUCCAUCGGCCUUGUCAGUUCUGCUGAGGUGGUCAUCAGGUCUGCCUUUGCUGACUGCCAAGCUCCUGGCUCUGACCUGGUUGCCCGCUGGGGUUGUUGUUCAGCUGUAGCCUCACUGGUCUGUCCCUCGAACCCCGGCCUGGCCUCCUGCCCUGCCGGCCCCGCCCUGGUCUCCUACCUUGCCAGCUCCACCCUGGCCCUAUGGCCUACUGUACCUCUGUUUCUAGACCUCUUUCACUACAUGCACCUGGCCCGCCAUCCCUCCCCCUGGUCUGCCUCCCUCCUGGAUUUCAUUGACUUUGUGGAGCAUCUUGAAUCCGCUCCUUAGAGGAGAGGUAAUGUCACAGUGUCUAGUUGGUGUGCCCAUGUAUAGCUACCAGAGGGCACACUUCUUAGUUUUGUUUGUUUCUCUGGACUUCAGUUCCCAUCACCCUUUGCUUUAACCAUCAAGUCUCAUUACAUUCAGCUGUCUCAAUUACCUUGUUAACUAAUCCACAUAUUAGCCCGG
ensembl:lncRNA